AUGGCAUCCGGUUCAGGAAAAGACCGGGACGAUGGCAAGCAAGAACCGGCCCGUGUGCACGGGCAACGCGACGACGCCAGCGCCGCCUCCCCCACUGGGCCGCCGAGCUUUGGGGCAGCGCAGGCGGGCUCCGGUGUCUCGUCGCCACCACCUCACUCUCCUCCGCCCGUCGAUGACCAGGCCGGGGGCGGAAGCCGCAGAGCCGGCGAAUCCAUCUCCUCGCCACCACUUCCCUCUGCUCCGCCCGUGGAAGUGCAGACCGGGAGCCAAAUCUUCGAAGCCGGGAGAUCGAGCUCCGCCGCUGCGCGCGCCGGGGAGCAGGCUGGAUUGCCGAAGGCCAAGAAGACGAUCUUGAGAAAGAUAAUCAGCUCCGGCAAGAACAAGUUUUUUUGUAGAGAAGGAAUCGGAAGCUCGGAGAGACCUCACGCCGGAAGCUCGGAGAGACCUCACGUGAAUCAACAGGCAAUUCCCUAUGGGCAAGCCUUAAAUCAUUAUGUUGGACAGAUACUUGCACUUUAUCGCGACAGAAUAUAUGCUGUGAAUGCAAUCGGCCUUGGUGACCGCUAUUUAGAAUUUAGGCCAGUGGAAGAAGAUGGGGAGUGUUUCUACAGGAGCUUCAUAUUUUCCUACCUUGAGCAAGUUCUUGAUAGAAAAGGCAGAAAUGAGGAACGCCGUCUCCUUGCAGCUAUCCAGGAGUUGGCUGAGGAAUCUGCACGUCUUGGAUGGGCCUCUGAAUUUUCUAGGAGCCACGAUGCAUUUAAGGAGUUGAUGAAGAAAGUAAAGAGAUGGAAGAAAAAACGCAGAUUGAUCCCCCUAUUAACUGACAGGUACAAGCGGAAACUUCUCGAGUUCUUCAGCACUUACGAUCAAACAGAAGACAUUUUUGUUUUCCUCAGAUUAGUAGCAGCUACCUGGUUGUGCUUGCACAGGGCGGACUAUACAGAGGAUAUACCUGGACUUGGAGAAAAUGACAGUGUGGCAAAUUGGUGCUUACAGCACGUUACUCCACGACGCGUGGUGGCGGGCCGUGUUCAGAUGUGA
rnacentral:rRNA from 1 species